rnacentral:rRNA from 1 species
GAUCCUGGCUCAGGAUGAACGCUAGCGGCAGGCUUAAUACAUGCAAGUCGAACGGGAUUCGGUGUAGCAAUACAUUGAUGAGAGUGGCGCACGGGUGCGUAACGCGUAUGCAACCUACCUUUAACAGGUGAAUAGCCCCGAGAAAUCGGGAUUAAUACACCGUAACAUUGCGGGAUGGCAUCAUUCUGCAAUUAAAGAUUUAUCGGUUAAAGAUGGGCAUGCGUGACAUUAGCUAGUUGGUGAGGUAACGGCUCACCAAGGCGACGAUGUCUAGGGGUCCUGAGAGGGUUAUCCCCCACACUGGUACUGAGACACGGACCAGACUCCUACGGGAGGCAGCAGUAAGGAAUAUUGGUCAAUGGGCGCAAGCCUGAACCAGCCAUGCCGCGUGCAGGAAGACGGCCCUAUGGGUUGUAAACUGCUUUUGUCAGGGAAUAAACCUGUCUACGAGUAGGCAGCUGAAGGUACCUGAAGAAUAAGCAUCGGCUAACUCCGUG